CAUAAAUUCUAAUAAAGGUGUAACAAUACCAGACUUCAAACUCUGACACUUUUCAACAUCAAUUAAGCAUCUCAAAAUUCUUAGUGGACAAUUGUAAAAUACCCAAAAUUUUAGUGAAAACUUGAUGUUUCCUCUACCAAAUGUACCUUCGGAUUAAGCCUUUAGUGGGAGCCGAACAAGUGAUCGAUAUAGAACCGACAGAUCAGAUUCAAACGGUGAAGGAACGAUUACAGGAAGCGGAAGGGACCGCGGCCGAUCAGCAGAGGCUCAUCUACAAAGGGAAGUUCUUAAAAAACGAGAAAACCGUUGACAGUUACCGGUUAAAGAACGGCGCUAUGUUACAAAUGGUUAAGGCCCUGCGCAGCAAGUAGAUGCAACCGAUACCAUUUAUAAGCUUUGGCUACACCAGAGAUACGAGAACUUGGCGUUAACUCCAGAAAUCAUCAACCUCCUAGAGACUCUGCGCAAGAAGUACCAAAUUGCGCUCAUUACCAAUGGGACUUCGGCGGCGCAGUGGGAGAAAAUCGAC
rnacentral:misc_RNA from 1 species